rnacentral:rRNA from 1 species
UACGGGGGGGGCAAGCGUUGUUCGGAAUUACUGGGCGUAAAGGGCUCGUAGGCGGCCAACUAAGUCGGAUGUGAAAUCCCCAAGCUUAACUUGGGAACUGCAUCCGAUACUGGAUGGCUCGAGUCCGGAAGAGGAGUGUGGAAUUCCUGGUGUAGCGGUGAAAUGCGCAGAUAUCAGGAGGAACACCAAUGGCGAAGGCAGCACUCUGGGACGUGACUGACGCUGAGACGCGAAAGCGUGGGGAGCAAACAGG